rnacentral:rRNA from 1 species
GAUGAACGCUGGCGGCGUGCUUAACACAUGCAAGUCGAACGAAGCACUUUAUUUGAUUUCCUUCGGGACUGAUUAUUUUGUGACUGAGUGGCGGACGGGUGAGUAACGCGUGGGUAACCUGCCUUGUACAGGGGGAUAACAGUUGGAAACGGCUGCUAAUACCGCAUAAGCGCACGGCACCGCAUGAUGCAGUGUGAAAAACUCCGGUGGUAUAAGAUGGACCCGCGUUGGAUUAGCUAGUUGGUGAGGUAACGGCCCACCAAGGCGACGAUCCAUAGCCGACCUGAGAGGGUGACCGGCCACAUUGGGACUGAGACACGGCCCAAACUCCUACGGGAGGCAGCAGUGGGGAAUAUUGCACAAUGGGCGAAAGCCUGAUGCAGCGACGCCGCGUGAGCGAAGAAGUAUUUCGGUAUGUAAAGCUCUAUCAGCAGGGAAGAUAAUGACGGUACCUGACUAAGAAGCACCGGCUAAAUACGUG